CUGGCAGAUGAGGAAGUGGCACAGUGCACAGUGAGCUGAGCUCUGACCAUGCAGCCCCUCCAGCGUGCCCACCUGCUCCUCCUGUUUGCCCUCCUUGUCCUCUGCAUGCCCUUCUGCCAGGCGGACAAAACCAACGCAGAGGAGAAGGGAGAGAAAGUGAUGACGACCACUCCCAAAGCCACCGUAACCGCUUGGAGCCCUCCCUGCACCAGCCCCCCUCUCCUUUCCCUUGCCC